UGGGGUGUAGCUCAACCGGCAGAGCGCCUGGCUGUUAACCAGGAGGUUGGAGGUUCGAACCCUCCCGCCCCAG
rnacentral:tRNA from 1 species